CCUUGGCCUCCCAAAGUGCUGGGAUUACAGUGAGCCACUGUGCCUGGCCCAUCAGAAUAUUUCAUAGUAAUCAAAUACACUUUCUUCUCUCAUGGACCUUGAAAUAUGGCAGGGAAACAUAGACAUUAAAUAAUUAAGCAAAGAUAUUGAGAAUCCUGGGACCUGUGGAUCACAUGUCAAGAACUGCCCAGGAUAAUGAAGGGAAAGAAGCAUACAGUCCCAAAUCACCAUUAAAGCAAAAGUUGUUUACAGGAUUCAAAAUUGAUAUAAUAUAAACUUAAGGUUAAAAUUAGAACCAAUAUUAGGAACAUACAGGUUAUUCUAAAAAUGUCACUGAGUAAAAAUAUACAGGGUUAAGAAAGUUAGUUGUACUUGGCUAGAUGUAAACAUACCACUUGAACAAAAGAAUGGCCUACACGUUAUUAUUUAUUAAAAUUGCGUAUUACUGCCUCUUUUUACAAUAAACUUUAAAAAAUUAUUCUGGGACUUCAGUUGAACAGUGCCACUUAUCAGUUACACAUUUUCUUUCUCUACACACACAGCCUUGACUUUGAAAAUGUAUCAGAGGCCUUGCAAAGGAAAUGAAAGUGGGUAUGUGGUAUUUGGCAUCUGAUUGAAUGUGGAGGGCAAGGGAAAGGAUGGGUAAAAAAUCCUUAGGAUUGAAGGUAGGUGACUGGGGAUUUUGGCAUCAUCAGAAGAAAUAGGGAGAUAGAUGAAUGGUUUGUUUUGAGGCAGGCUGAGUUUGAAAUCAAUAGACCAUCUUAAGUGGUGAUGUGUAGCAGGCAGUUAGAAAUGUAAAACUGGUUCUGGGAUUCACAGUAGAGAUGCAUUUUGGGAAGUCAUUGGGUAAUAUUUGCAUCAUGGUAUUAGAUAAACUAGACAGAAUGUAGUAAGUGCCAUAUUAGUAUAGAACAUAGGAAUGAUAAGUUUAAAGGAGAAAUUAAUUGAAGGAAUCUUCCUGGAAGUGGGUUAUGAUUAAGAUCUGUUAGAAAGGAGAAAAAUUUUCCAGGCCUAUUUUUUCUCCAAUUUUAUACUGAAUAUAUUGAGGAGAAAUUUUGCAUAAGAGCUACUUUUAUUACUUCUUUACAUUCUAUGGUAUUUUCCCCCCAGCACCUCCUACAGAACAUUCUAUGGUAUUUUUACUUUUAAAAGCUAUCAUAAUAAUUAUUUGAAAUUAGUGUGGCUGAACUUACCACUAUUUUAGAAAAGACACAAUUGAAACAAUUUAAGGUUUGCAGUGCAUCUUGUAACCAGUUUUCUAAAGCUCAACAUCACUGAUCAUUACAGAAAUACAAAUUAAAACCACAACGAGAUACCAUCUGACACUAGUCAGAAUGGCUGUUAUUAAAAAGUCAGAAAAAUCACAGAUGCUGUUGAGGUUGUGGAG